AGGAGGGAUGAGAAGUUCAGGGAGACAGUGUGUUUGUUUUAUCCCUGUGGGUCAGUACCAGGAGCCAAAAGCUGAUGUGGGAUUCACCAGAGAACGUGUCUGUGCAGAGAUCUGACCAGCUACAUGUAAAACAAGGAAAAGGAACAGAGGGGGUAAAGGUCCUCACAUUCUUUAUUCAAGUAGAAGUAAAAGAGUACAGACUCUGAAAUGUACUCAGAGUAUCAGAGUAAAAAGUCUCUCUCUGAAGGAUGUUUGUGGUCAAAGAUAAAUGGAGCUCAUGUCUCAUUAAUAUAAUUCAAAGAUUAUUCAAGUUAAAGGUAUAAACAGUGGGAUCUGUCCCAGCUGUUCCUGAACACAUAACAAAGACAGCUGAUUGUUGAGUUUCAUUCCCAGGACGUUGAACAGACACAUGUUGGGUUGGUAAAGCGUCCCGAGCAGCAACAAAGAGAGAAAAUAAAAAAAUCCAGGCAGAGACACUAACACGCUUCUUCUCCACAUUCCAGUCUCCCUGUCUGUCUCUUUACGUCUUCAUGGAUACGUUCAAAUUUUUCGGUCAGCCAUCAGCCCACAGCCUCAGUGUUUGACGAGCUGGGAAUGAAACUCAGCAAUCGACUUUCUGUGAAGUUGGACCUUUAACAAACAUCUUGUUAAUCAUGGCCGCCUGGCUCCACUGCCCCAAUCUGAUUCUCACUGUCGGUUCCAGAUCUGGUGUAAUCUAACUGCCUCGUUCGCACAGACUUUCUGCCCACGCACAUCUGACAGGAUGCUUAUUGUUACACCACCCUACAGCAGUUGUUGUUGGAGCGCCGUGCGUGUGUGCCGUCCCCAUUUUGGUCUGUCGAAAAAAAAAACCCACCGGCACAUGUGGACAUCGCAUGGGAUAAAAACCUUUCCCCGCGUGCCACAUCUCUCAUCAUCAGCCCCCGUUUCCAACCCACCAAAAGCCCCUCUUGCUCCUCCUCUCGCCCUCAUGGUGGUAUUUUCUCAAACUCCCAGCCGAUUUAUGGCUUGCGGGUCCGGCCUAUAUACAAUAACUGAGGCUGAGUUGUCGUCAGGUCUGUCAGAAGCCCAGAGGUGUCGCCGGACGGGACGGGUGAUGAAGGACAAGCUAUUGAAAACAGUUAGCUCAGCCUUUCGAUUGCAGUGGAAUUGUUUUUACACCAAACACAACAUGGCAGAGGCACCGGCCGGGCGAGAGUGUGUGGGUAGAGCCAGGGUUUCUUUGGCUGAGUCAGUGUUGUGGCUGAGGGUUGACGACACCAUCUAUCCAAUACGCUUCACAGGGAGUGUUCCUCGAGGGACCCGCUGCUAAUUAAACACAGCUGGAUCGAACAAAUUAAACAAUUAAACCAGGUCUCUAUCCGUUGUAAUGCAAGUAUUAUCAUUUAUUUAUCUAAAGCAGCGGACUCCAAAAUAUAGUGUGUGUCCUGUCAGAGAGCAAGGCUGAGGUGUGAAACAGUUUAUGGGCCGAGCUUUCAGAGCAACGAGGUCGUCUCCGCUGCACAAACAUCUCCCAGAUGGCUGCGAGGAAGUGAGGGAACAGAAGAGGAGGAGGAGGAGGAGGAGGAGGAGGAGGAGGCUGCUGGCACGGACAGCAAGGGAACCCAUCGAUGCCAAACAGGUGCUGCAGCUGUAGUGCUCCCCCUCAGGUCAUCGUCAUGGUAACACCUGUUUUAGGUGGACAGGACGAAGGCCCUGGCCUCGUCUUAAUCCUGGUAACACAGCUGCCCGGAUUACCAGCGCACCUUGACCUCCGAGCGUAUGAAUCCCUCGCUUCCCGGGACAAAGCUGUCGGCCGGUUCACCUGCUGAUGGAGAGAUAAGGCGAGGAGGAGACGUCGGGCCGGACCGGGUCUGAUACACAUCACAGACGCUGCUUCAAUUCAUUAAAUGAAAAAAAAAAAAAAAAAAAAAAA